CCUACGGGAGGCAGCAGUCGAGAGGCUUCGGCAAUGGGGGAAACCCUGACCGAGCGACGCCGCGUGCAGGAUGAAGGCCCUUGGGUUGUAAACUGCUUUUGUUGGGGAAGAAAUGCGAUCAGGUGAAUAAUCUGGUCGUUUGACGGUACCCGACGAAUAAGCUCCGGCUAACUCCGUGCCAGCAGCCGCGGUAACACGGGGGGAGCAAGCGUUGUUCGGAAUCACUGGGCGUAAAGGGCGUGUAGGCGGUUAAGUAAGUGGGAUGUGAAAGCCCCCAGCUCACCUGGGGAUCUGCAUUCCAAACUGCUUGACUUGAGUAUGGGAGAGGAUAGGGGAAUUCCUGGUGUAGCGGUGAAAUGCGUAGAUAUCAGGAGGAACACCGGUGGCGAAGGCGCCUAUCUGGCCCAAUACUGACGCUGAGGCGCGAAAGCUAGGGGAGCAAACGGGGAUUAGAUACCCCGGUAGUCCUAGCCGUAAACGGUGAUCACUAGGUGUUGGGUAGGCGAUCGACCCGUCCACGUGCCGCAGCUACGCAUAAGUAGAUCCGCCGUCGGGUAGGUACGGCCGGCGAGGUUAGAACGUACGAAUAGAAGUUAGACGCGUGAGACGUGCCGAACGGACGACGACGAGGGAGGUUAGG
rnacentral:rRNA from 1 species